rnacentral:rRNA from 1 species
GACGAACGCUGGCGGCGUGCUUAACACAUGCAAGUCGAACGGAAAGGCCCUGCUUUUGUGGGGUGCUCGAGUGGUGAACGGGUGAGUAACACGUGAGUAACCUGCCCUUGACUUUGGGAUAACUUCAGGAAACUGGGGCUAAUACCGGAUAGGAGCUCCUGCUGCAUGGUGGGGGUUGGAAAGUUUCGGCGGUUGGGGAUAGACUCGCGGCUUAUCAGCUUGUUGGUGGGGUAGUGGCUUACCAAGGCUUUGACGGGUAGCCGGCCUGAGAGGGUGACCGGCCACAUUGGGACUGAGAUACGGCCCAGACUCCUACGGGAGGCAGCAGUGGGGAAUAUUGCACAAUGGGCGGAAGCCUGAUGCAGCAACGCCGCGUGCGGGAUGACGGCCUUCGGGUUGUAAACCGCUUUCGCCUGUGACGAAGCGUGAGUGACGGUAAUGGGUAAAGAAGCACCGGCUAACUACGUG